GUAAAUUCCGAUGUUUAAUGACUGAUGUAAACCUAAAUUAUUUGUAUAUGAUAAGCAGUUCCAAACCAAUUCUAUGCAGUAGCCAACAGGUAAAACAUUUUCAGAUUUAUCAUGCAAAAAAAGUCACAUUAAUGGAUUCCAAUUCUGUUUCAACCACUAUACUUCUUCAGUAAAAAAAUAAGUAAAAUUUAUUGGAAGACAUGCCUUAACAGAUGAAGGUUUGAUCUUUUUCUCCACAUCAGAAAGUUUGGCCUGAUAAACAAGCAUCAAAGCAGAAUAGAAAUCAAAAUCAUGCUCCAUCAGAUAAUAAAGAAGCUCUAAUCUUCUUGAAUAUCAGUAGAAUGAGAAGCAAAAAUAGAACUGAUAGUAUGCCAUGUUCUUUCAAGAUAAAUGAAAACCUCAGCAACAGCAGCCCUCGUCUCAGCAGCAGAAACAGCACGCAAGGCAUUUGCCAAUUCUUUUCCCAUUUCCUCAACUUGCCUCAUUGCACUUUUCAAAGUUUCUUCACGGUCAGAUGUGAGAGCUCUGACAUUGUUCCGCUCUUGUUCAAGCUCUUUCUUGGCCUCAGCCCAUUCCCUCUGCAGAACAAUAAUGACGAUGAUGACGACAAUGAUGAUUUUUUGAAAAUAUUGAUCAAAUAAUAGUAUAUUCAAUCUCAGCCUAUUUGGAAAAAUCAUGUAACAGAAUGCAGUUCAAUUGAACAAUUCUAUAAGUGAAUUCAGAAGAAUUAAUUUUCUUAUAAAAUUCACAUAGUUGGAAUAAAUGUUAAAGAACUACAGUAUAUCAAAGAAUUGAAAAAUUAAUUGAAUUCUUGUAACUUGUUAUAACCCUGAUUUCCCAAAUGUUUUUUUUCGGUUUUUUCAAUGAUUAGCUCCACCAUAACUUGAAAAGAAAACGAAUUAAAUUCUUGCAGAAUCAGAUUUUAGAGGAUUUCAUUCUUGCAAAAAGCUGCAUGAUGACCUCAUAAUAAAUUGAGGUCUCUCACUUGAAGAGGUUCCCAAAAAUAAGAAACCGUGUUAUCAAGGUAAGAGGCAACACCAAGGCAACAGAGUCUCCUAUUGCCUUAGGCGAGAGGUGAGAUGAUGCCUUUUUGAAGAAAGCAACAAAGUCAAAUUUUUUAUACUAUUUUGAAUACACUUGUACAUAUACAUAUAAUGUAUCAUCAACUAUAGUUCAUAUAUUUUAAUCUAACUAAAUAUUAAUUUUUUCAAUUAGAUUCAAAGAUAAAAAAUAUAAUUGGUGAUAAAUUAUAUUUAUAUAAAAUGUAUAGAAGAUUAACAUUAUUUUCUUAAUAUAUAAAUAAAAUUAACAUAUAAAUAAAAAUUAUAAUUAUUAUACCUUAAUUAUUAUAAUUAUAUAUAAUAUAUAAUUAAAUAAAUAUAUAAUUAAUAUAUCAAUAAUUAAAUAAUAUUAAACUGAAAUAACCGAUUUAAAAUAUUAGUUUGAUUUAUUAAAAAUUUUGGUUUGGUUCAAUUUUAUUUUUUAAAAAAAUCAAUUAAAUUGGUUCGGUUUUGAAAGUUGAAAGAUAGAUUUAACCAAACUGAACCGAAUAUGUAUAAUUUGAAUUUUAAACUUACAAUUAAGAAGCAUGUGGCAUAGUGGCAGUCUGAUAUUUAAGACCCUUAAAGGACCUGCGUUCGAUCCCUAUGCUUGUAUCCUCUCUUUUCCUUUUUUUUUCCAUUUUAAAACUUAAUGCAAUCAAAUCUUAGUAGUCUAUUUUAGUUGAAAAGGUCCAAACCAUUCAAAAUAAUACUAUAAAUUCAUAACUUUAAGCCUCAAACCCCAGCUUCCUUCUCUUUCUGUUCUCUCAGUUGGCUGCUAUUAUUUCUAUUCCCUUCCCCUUCCCCUUUCUUCUCCUUCAAUACUGCUGAUCACGUAGACUGCCACUCUUGCUCACUCUCACUCAUGCUCAUAAUCGCUAUCGCUCUCUCACUCCCGCUCCUAGUCACGCUGUUGCUCACGCUCCUAGUCACGCUGUUGCUCACGCUCCUACUCGCUUUCGCGCUCUCACUUGCAAUCACCCUUGCCAGCACUGCUUUCACCAAUCUUGCCCUUUAUUGGAGGUGUUGAAUCCAGUCACUGCCUUUGUUUUGUCGUCUCGCAAGUAUGGUUUGAUGGUGUUUCAAUUUGUUUCUCCAUUUCUAUAGUGCUUGAAAUAUUCAAAUAAUCAAGGUUCUUGAGCUAUGAUUUGUGAUUUAUAGAUGUAAGUUGUAGUUAGUUUUGUAAUUUCAUAUGUGAGUGCGAUUUGUGGUUGGGUUUUGUAAUUUCUUCAUCUGUGAGUGUGAUUUGUAGUUGGGUUUUGUAAUUUCUGGAUUUUUAUGAGAUUGUAACAAAGAUAUUAGAUUUUGCAUUCUGGUUUGUGAGGUAGAUUUUGCAAUUCUUAAUUUGCUUUGUUGUUUGUUGCUAAUGAUAUGUCAUUUAAAAUAUUCUGUAAUAAUUUCUUUGAACCUGGACGCAUCUGUUCCUUUUUUAAAAAAAAAAAAAAAUUCCAAGGCAACAUGGCUCGCAAUUUUCUAAUAAAAAGUUGCUAACAAUAAUAUUCUCAAUAAUCCCAAUAUAUUUGCUAACAAUAAAAAGUUGUCAAAAAACUAGCGAUUUUCAUCAGAUAUAUAUAUCUACAAAAUUCAAAUGAAACAGGACUCCAACACAAGUGGAUAAAAAUAUAAUUCACUUGAAUUGAAUUUCUAAUUCCCAACACUUCCAAAAGAUAUUUUAAAUGAAAACUAAGCCAGCAUUAGCAUUUCCCAAUAAGUUCACACAUUCACAACAUUAAUAAACACUGCCAUUUACUAGCGAACUAUGAAAGGCAACAUGGCUCGCGUGGAAUAGAUUAAGCAUUGGAAAGAGCAAUAAUAAAAUAAUCUGCUUUUUAGCAAAGCAGAAAAAGGAACAAUCAAUACUUAUCAUGCAACACAAAUACAAGAUCAAUAGCAAAAUGAAACCCACCUCAAUUUGUCUGAUAUGCUCCUCUUGUUUUCUCCUCUCAGCAGCUCUUGCCUCCUUCAGUACACACGAAGGGAAUAUUACAAUCAUACAACAAAAAGCAUUCCAAUAGGAAGGUGACAUACAUUAAUUCAGAUAACACACCUCGCGAACCUCCUGUGCGCUAUGAAUAGUAUCCAAACUAGCCUGCACACGAGACAACAUUUAGAAUAUCUACAACAUUUCACGCUAAGAAACUUUAAUUUUCUUUCCAAACCUGUAGGCGGUAGACUCUCUCGGACAAACUCCGAACUUCAUCACAAGCCCUUUUCUCAGCAUUUGACAACAUCUCUUUUUCAUGCUUAAGAAUUGAUACCUGUUGAAACCAUGAAGUGAAGUUAUGAACAUUCAGGAAUACCAAUUGAUGGUUCCACAUGAUAUAGCAUUAUACCUCCAUAUUUAACUUCCUAGAAAGGUCCUCAGAUGCAUGCAAUGCUUCUGAACUUUCAUACAAUUUUCUUUGGAAGUCCACUACCAACUGUGUGAACUCAGCAUUCCUUGCUUUAAUGCUAAUCAGUUCAUUUUCCUGUCAAGCACCAUAAGUAACAGAAAAACUUUAAGCAAAUACAUGAUCUGCACCUCUAUCAAAACAUUGUAUAUGAAAUGAAUAGUCAGUUCAACUCCUCAUUUUUCACCUAGUCAUCGCAAUUUUUCAACUAGCACAAACACCACAAAAAAAAAAAAUAGUCAACACCAAAGAGUCACCCUGAAAUAGAGAUGGCCCACAAAUUUUUAGGUAAAACUAAAAUGAACAUGUUUAGGUGAGCCGCAUGUAUAAAUUAUGAUACAAUUCCUAUAGUUGCUCAUAUUACAGAAGUUUUAAAAGUUUCAAUGAUAAACAUUCCACAAAAUUAUAAAGUUAUAGAAUUGUAAUACAAGGUUUAAAGCCCAUAGAUCUCAAAGUCAAACUGAGUUUGACUAUGCUAUAAAGGCUCAUAAAUCUAGAACUUCAAUGAAAAAUUUGAGUUAUAUUUGGUUUUUGAAGAUGUAAAUAUACUCCAAAACGGUUCUUCACAAAAUCUACUCAUUCCUAUCUGACCCUAUUUUUUUCCAUUUACAACUACACUCAAGUCUUUUACAUAUUCUCUGCCACCAUGUAAAAAAUUUUAUGAUUCACACCUUACAAUAAAAUAAUUUUAAAUCGACAUCAAAAUUCUACCUAGCCAAAUGAUGUGAAUAAAUGUCUUAGUAGUUGGUAGUUAAUCUUCACUUUUCUUUUUUCCAUAAAUUAGUAACUAAAAGGUUGUGUCUAGGAUUACACCUAUAUGGUACUUAGAUAUUUGAAAUUAAUGGGAAAACCUUCAAAGAAAAAAGAAAGUGAAAAUGAAAAAUCAACAUGUACAAUUAAAGUCAUACACUUCAUAUUGUAUCCAACAAUUGAGAUCCAAACGAAUUCAUGAUAUAAUCCAGAAGUUCACCUGCUGCUCAUGUUUUUUCAAAUAACUGUCAAGUCUUUCUUUUGUGAAUUUAAGUCAUACACUUCAUAUUGUAUCCAACAAUUGAGAUCCAAAAGAAUUCAUGAUAUAUUCCAGAAGUUCACCUGCUGCUCAUGUUUUUUCAAAUAACUGUCAAGUCUUUCUUUUGUGAAUUUUGCAUCCAGCUCCAUUUUGUCACGUUCUGAUCGCAAUGAUAUGAUUUCACUCCUAAAUUAAAAAUAAAAAAAGUGAAAUCAACAGAACACAGGUAAAUUCAAGUCUAGAAUAUGAAGUGAACUCUCCUUAUGUUCAGUAAAUAAAAUAACUUAGCCAAUACCUAGUAAAUUCAGAAUAAGUACUCGCUGAGCGGGCUUAACAGCGCUAUGGGUUGCAAUUGUUGAACAAGGAAAUAAGUAUAAUAAAACUUGUAAUGAGGAAAAAUAAAAUAGAGUUAAAGCAAGAAAUUAGAACACUGGUAAGCGAACACAACAAUAACAACAAAUAACCCUUAAUUCUAAACAAGUAGAGGUCAACUAUAUGGAUUCUUUUUUGCCAUUCAGCUCUCAUGACACCAAUCAGCAUCAAUAUUCAAAACUUUUAAUCUAUUGAUACCACUUCCUUCCAUAUCAUCUUAAAUUCCCCCUGCUUUUCUCACUUCUUUCACCAUUAGCUUAUCAAAGGGAAUGUACGCAUUUAUUACUCCAUUAUUCAGGAUGAUACGUCAUAAAUACUUGAAUAGGUUGUGGGACCAAAACUUCAUCCAAUCAGACCUCCCACCUCACCCCAACCCCCCACCCACCAAAAAAAAAAAGGAACCUUCUAAGAGAGCUAAAUUUGGAAUGUAAUAUUCUGCCUUUUCUUUUUAGGAUAAAACCUUUACUCUCAAAGUCAUUCAACAACUCUAAUUUUUAGUAGACUAUUUUGGCAACCAAAAUUUCAUCCAACCAAACCCCCCACCACCCCCCCCACACACCAAAAAAAAAAAAAAAAAGAUUGUGAGAGAGCUGAAUUUGUAAUGCAUAUAUUCUGCCUCAUUUCUACUUAGCAUAAAACUCAUACUCUUAAAAGUCAUUCUCCACAACUCUCUUAACUUUUAAUUGACUAUUUCCCUGGUUUCACCCAUGAAGAGAACACCAUUUUAAACUAACGUGCACCAUAGGACAUAGUCUUGAACAUUACUUGUUAUCUCAUCCAUAACUAAGUAAACAGAUACUGACUCAAAGCCACUUCCUCGUAACAUUAUAAACCUACUGUUAUGGGAAACUCGUCCAUAAUCAGUCAUAUUGUUCUCACACUUGUACACUUGUGACAAUCCCCUCGUAGGCUCAUACAUGUCCAAAAUAAUGUUUAUAUAUUGAGAUGGUUUCCUUUCUACAAUUCCACUCCAAAACUAACCGAAGAACUUUUCUUAGUGCUUGAUUAUAUGUCUCUUCUAAGUUAAUGAUUGAUACCAUGUGGAGAACAAUAUGACUGAACAGUUAAUCAAAAUAGCAUCUCCAUCACUCUUUAACCUUAUAUUUUUCGUUACAAAAUUUGUUAAUUGUCUUUGAUACACAUUACCUGGAUUAAAUCUCUAUUCCUCAUUUAAGUAGCAUAGCUUGUACAUGCGUCUCUCUCUCUCUCUCCAUUGCAUCACUACCUUAUAAUAUCAAUUGACUUCAGAUUUACCACAAACCUUGCAAAACGCAUUCUUAGCUUCUAUCCUACCAAACAUAUAUUUCUCAAAGGUCUUUCCGUAUUUUGUCAUAGAUAACUUCUUAUCACUUCGUUUUCAUCUUAGUAGCCUUUUGAAUAUCCUCAUUCAACCAUUAAGAAUCUUUUAGAGUGGUCCUCUACCUUCUGGACACUCCUACUUUCUCAAUGCAGUUUGCUAUAGUCUCCACACAGUACAUAUCAUCUAAACUUUUUAAAUCCUACAUUAAUACCUUCCCCUAAAAGCUAUUUACUAGCGUCGCACAGGUUUCACCAUCAAUUCGCAGGUUGCAUAAAUUUCUCUUCAUUCUUAGUACCUAGGGCCUCAUUUAAGAUAACUUACAAAGUUUUACACAAGGCUUUCUCCCCUCUAUAUUCGGAAAGAAGUUAAGUUGGAUGUGACUACCUACAAGGUAAUCAACUGUGGUUCCCUUUUAUCUUCUUUUGAAAAGGGUGUUGCUUAAAACCAUAAGCCACAGCAAAUUUCAAAUUGGUCAUUCCUUCUUUUCUACUCGCAUAUCUAAACCCUCGAUGCACCUAGGUUGCUAGUACACGUCCAUUAAAAUCUCCACCAAACAAAAAUCUCGUACUUUUGGGAAUCCCUGAAACAGUGCAUCCAUAUCUUCCCAACACAUGCUUAUAGCUUCCUUAUCCAGACCUACUUAAGGUAUGCAUUGAUAGUCAUAACAAUAGCUUCCCUUCCCAAUACUAAAUUCCAAGGAGAUAACUAUUAAGUCUCCAACUUAUCUUUGAGUCAUAUUCUACUAUGCUUCCAGCACCAUUUCUAUUCUUUUCAACCUACGAGUAUGGCAGUCGUAUUACAAAUCUUUCUUGCGUUUUCCACCAUCCGCUUAGUUUAGUGAAGACAUGUCAAGUUGUCAACCUCCUCUUCCUAGUAUCUACAAGCUACAUUAAUUUUCCACUUUCCAGUCAAUGAUCAUAUGUUCCAACUACCUAUGCAAGCUGCAUCUCCUAGACUAGCUUUUUUAUAUGCACUCAUCCACCGAGAUGCGAAAACUCUUGUCUAUUUUGCACCAUCAAGCACCAUGUAGUGGGACUUAACUUCUUUAGCCAUGCACAUGCAUGUUGUGGGACACUUUUCCACUCCUCAACAGACCAUGCAGCAAUAUAUUGAACCCUUGCUCAUUAAACACAACAUCUAAGUGCAAAUGUAGCAUGCACACAGAGGGGCAUGGUCUCAUAUUGCAAUCAAAAGGAUCCAUACUCAUGAAAAUUGUUUGAGUUUUACAUUGGUCUUAACCAUCCAUAUACUAACAAAAGCCAAAAUUAAGAAGGCACCAGUACUGUGUCGCGCAAAUCCAACUUCCCAGUUCCAACACACCAUAUUGACACUUAAAAACAGGCAUGGACACUUCAUGAACCUCCAAAAACAAUGGAAGUAAUAAAAAUCAUGGUUUUAAAUCGCAGUUGCGAAUAACAGAAGCAGCCCUGUAAAGGCUGUAAGCCUGUAACGUAAUGGUAAUGGCCUAGUGCUUCGCAAAUUUUUCAAAUCAAUUUGCAAAGUUCAUAAAAUGAAAUGAUAUUGAUUAGAUUUAAUUCAGAACAAUGUAUGUAAAUGCAUAACAAACAUAAUUACAUCAAAUGUAAACUAUUUAAAAUAAGAAAAACCAACACAAUCUUUAUAAAUCGAGUAAACUAAUAGCUUAAAGUACAAUUUUAACUCAAAACUAACAUUUUAAUUCACAAAAAUUUAAAAAAAAAAAAAAAAGAAAAAAAAAACAGCAACUAAAAACUAAAAUACAAAAAAUUUAACUACUCUUUUAGAAGAAAUAAGCUUGGAAGUGCAGUGGUUUAUGAUUGAUCUAAGCUUAUAUGAGAAAUAUGCAAGUGAUAUUGGAAUCUGAAAGAGAAAGGAAUGGGAAAACUUGAAAAAUAUUACCUUUGAAACUGUGGAAACUGAUAAAAAUGAGAAUAAGGGCAAAAGAUGAAGGAUAUAAAAGAAUUUCAAUUAUUGAUAACGGUAACGGCCGUUACUUUGUGAUUGAUAACAUCUUCAAGUAAUGACCGUCACAAUUACAACUCAAGGGGCCAUUGUGUAACUGGGUACUGGGUAAGGCCGUUAUCUUCAAGUAUCGACCGUCACAAUUACAACUCAGGGGGCUAUUGUGUAACGGGGUAAUGGGUAAUGCCCCCAAAAACCAUUACAUAACAGUAUCGUAACGGCCGUUAAAAAUGUCAAAUAUGUGGUUACUUAUCCAACACUUGCUCUUAAGACAAACUUAUCACUCCCACAGAAAUAUAUAGCAAAAAAUAUAACGAAGACUACAAAACAAAAGGACGCAAUCAAACAACAAUGCCUCUUAUAUGGGUUUAGGCAAAUAUAACAUCCCCAAUUUUCUUAUUUCAAGGAUAGCAAACAUUAAAAAGAUUUGUCUUAGUAAAAAGGCAUUGAUGUACCUAAUUUCGCAAAAACAAAAACUAGUGGAGAAGGACAAGGAUAUUACCUAGAUUUUGUCAAUUCCUCUUCCAGGGAUCUCAAUCGUUCAGAAGCCUUUUCUUGGGCCACUUUGGCGGAUUCCUAAAUUGGAUAUAGGAUUGAAUGAGUUUGAAUAUGCAAGUACCAAAAUAACAAUGAUCAUCUUGAAAAUAUCCAAUGUUUAUCAUACCUGAGAGCCUUCAAGCAAAAGCAAGAGGUCUUUCCUUCCAUCAUCGGCAACUAUUAAAUAACAAAUGGAAUAAAUACACACCAAGAAGAAAAUUGGACAAGCAAAAUAGAAGCACGUGCUUCUGUUUUCUUUAACAAAGUAUAAAAUUUUAAUUCAUAAAAUCCAUAAACUAAACAUUUUUUUUAUAUAGAUUAGCGAAGUACCUAAAGUAUAUUAUGUCAUAUUUUAGUAAUCUAAAAGAAUGUUACUUUUUAUUUCAAAUCACAACCAUACAAUUACUUUUUGUGCCUUUUCAUUUAGUACUUUGAAAUUCGAAUUUCAAUCAAUCAAAAACACAAUAACUAAAUUUGUUACUUUGAAAAUACAAAAUGCUAAAUAGCAUACCAAACGUCCAAUAAUUGAACAUGACAAUUUUUCCUCUAUCUCUGGGUGUAGAGAAAUGUUACAUGAACUGACUUUUCCUUCUAAAUACACACACUUUUUUCUUUUUUUUUUCCUUCUUUCUUUGAUCCCACUCUCUAAACAAAAUAUUGCAAGAAGUUCAUUGGUGGGGAAGGUAGGUGAAAGAGAGGGUAAUACCUUUGUUUUUUAUGCUUCAAAACUUUUUAGGAAGGGAAGCAUUCCCCAUCGAUAAGGUGAAAACUAUUAUACACGGUUUGAGGCACAAAAAUGAAGAAAGAAGAAAAAUGUAAUUCUUUGUCUUAUUCCUUUUAGUUUCAAAAGAAUAUAACCUGUCAAAAAAAUGAAGAAUAACAUAAAAGAACCAAAAAUUUCCUUUCCCUUUCUCAUCUUAAUUUUUUAGUUUCCCAAACACAACAAGGUAAAGAAUUUCUCCCCUCAUCCCUUUCCUGUAUAAAAAAACUCUUAAAAAAAACUAUCCUAAAUGCCCCCUCCCACCUUUAGUAAUGCAUAGUGAAAACUGAAAAAAAAAAAAUUAAGGAAUACUGGAACGUCAACAUCAAGGCUACAAGUAGAAACAUAAAAAAACAAGCUUGUUGCAACAAUGAUUGGAAUAAACUGCCUACUAACAAACGUUGUAUAAGCACACUGUAAAGAGCCUAAUGACGCAUUAGAACCUACAUUACCUAUCACUGUUGUACAGCUAAUCUAGAAAUGCCAAAGAAUUUCAUUGGAUAUUCAAUAUAGAGGGGAAAAAUCUUAAGGUUCAUACUUGCAAUAAAAAAAANNNNNNNNNNNNNNNNNNNNNNNNNNNNNNNNNGACAAACCUAAGGUGACAUGGUGGAAAGUAGAGGAAAUAUAUCUCAAGAACAUCUUUUUCUUUUUUUUUUUUCUUUGCUUCUGUAGAAUUGUCCUUUUUUUUCUUUCUAAUUUUGGUGGUAUUUUCAAUUGAAUUCACAGGACCAUCUAGUUUUGUCUUAGUUUCUUCAAUUUAAUUAGGGCACAUCCAGCAGUACCCUGCACAAAGUUGCCCAACUAUUGAUUUGAACAAAAAAACCCACAUUUCUGUGAUGGAAUGUAAUGUAUGCAAAUUAUGCCAUAAAAUAAGAUGAGCAACCUGGAGGAGCAUCUGAAGAACGGGAAUAAGAUGAAUGAAGCUUAUGUUCCUCUUCAUAUAGCCUCUUGUACAUAGCAACCUGUUCAUAUGAAAGAAACAAAAGAAAAAAGCUAAGUGAGUACAGAUGCAUCAUAGGAAGAUCAGCAUAGAGACCAGCCUACAUUCCUCCCCAUUUGAAUAAAUGCAAUCUCACACACACGUUCAUGGAAAAGUGAAACAAGAACAGAAAAUAGGUCUCAAGAAGCUUACAGAAGUAUGAAGUGAUUCAAUCAUACGCCCCUGCUCCUCAGCCCUUUGCAACACUGCAGCCACUUUGCAGGCAGCUUCAUCAGUGUGUUUUUUGAGCUCCAUUUCCAAUUUUUCCUGCAAUUUCAUAAGCCACAACUGGCUGUCAGAAAAAGCCUUUAAAAACAAAAAGUUGCACAGCAACUUAAUCAACAACACAAUUGCAGACAGAUAAAGAAAACGCAAUUCUUAUAAGGACCUUGAACUCCAUCUCCUUAUUUUCAAUCUGAUCAGAAAGGUCACGCACAAGGCUCCUAAGCCGAACAUUUUGCUCAACUAAUCCAUUGAUAUCAUUGAAGGUCAACUGUAACAUAGUUUCAGCCAACAGGACAUCAAUAAUUGACAAUUAUUCCCCGCACCAAAAAUAUUCAAUAAAUAAAUAAAAUUCACAAGUUUAAAGAACCAAGGAUCUGAUCUUACAAGCCGUUCUGAAAUUACUUUUUCAGUAUCAGACUCCACAUCCAUCCCAACAGCAACAAUCGCAUUACUGCCAUCAACCUCAUCAUGCCCAAUAGAUCCACAACGAAGUUGUAUAUCACGACACUCCUUGAGGAGGAUUGUGACCUACAAUAUCAUUUCCAACAAUAAAACGGGGGCACUUGCAAGCACAGUGGAAAAUGAACUUUUGAAGGAACUUCUAAGAAAAGGUAAAGUGGUGCUCAAGGAAUCACAUUUACCAAAAUUAGCAGGCACACAAAUUCCCAGACACAUGGAAAAACAUCUAAGAACUUACACCAACAAAUUGCAUAAAAUCAAAGGCAGCAACAAUGCAGGCAUAUCUACUUUGGAUGUGAUGGCUUCAAGUUCCACAACUGAAUAAAGCAACACAGAAAAGGAAAAGCUUUUUUCCUAAUUAAUUCAAUGAGGAAUCAAAAAUUCUAUCAAGGCUGUUAGGUUUCCAGUGUGUAGAAACCGAAUUCAUAAGAAAUAUUAGGUUUUUUAGUCCGUAGAAAUUAAAUUCAUAAAAGGAUUUUCAUGAUGAUUAUUACCUAACAGAAGAUAACAUAUAAUGGCUCAGAAAAGAAAAAAAAACACGUGUAUACUUGCACAUUUGUACUUUAGCAUUUUUUCUUAUUAAACGUUUCAACUUUAAUUGUGACCUAAUAAAAGUCUAAAUUUAAAAAAAGAUUACUUUUAAACACCUAAACUUUAAAAAAACAUUACUUUUAAACACUUACACUUUAAUAUAUAUAUAUAUAUUUAUAUAUACAAAAAUACAACUUUAAAACUAUGGAUUUGGCUAAGUUGUGUUUAAAGGCUAUUUAUUAAGUUACAGGUGUCUGAUAAGCAAAAGUAUUAAAAUAUUGGUGUACAAAUAUGCAUUGAGCUAAAACACAAUUGUUAUAUCAUCAAAAAUGUUUUUAAUUUAUCAGUAUUAUUUUCACAGGAUUCUCUUGUUAAAAAAAUCAAGAAUAAGGUGAAAUGCACAUAGUAAUAACACAAUUUUAUAUAUUUUAAUACAAUUCUUCAAAAUUUUAUAAUUUAAAUGUUAUAAAUAUUGUCAUACAUUUUCUUAAUUAGUUUUUAUUGUUAACGGUCAUUUUUAGACAAUUUAUUCUUUUAUUUUAAGUUUUAAAUGCCACAUGGAGUUUAGUUGUUGGUUUGGCCUCAUUUCGUAGAAGUAACUUCCAAAAAAAUGAUACUUCUUAGGAGAUUACUUUUCUCGGUACAUUGUAUAUUAUUAGUAUUUGAUUUGCACAUUCUCAUUCCAUUCCAAGAUUUCACAUUUGGAUCAAUCAAUCAUUUCCUAGGAAGCAUGAUAAAUUGACAAUCCCUAAAUUUAGUAAUUUAGCACAUUUGUUCUUACUUCCCUAGGAAAGUGGAGCUAACUACAUACCAGCCCGAAAAAAAACUUAUCCCAGGGGAGAGGGGAAAUAGCUCACACCAAAAUAAAUCUAAUCCCAUAUUUUGCGUAUCAAAUGGCUAAGAAUUGGAAUCACCUAGUCCCGUUGUUAGAAUUGUAGAAUUCCGGAUUUGAUUCAUAGUUCAUACGAUAUGAUUCAAUUUGAUUUCUCAUCCGAGUGAUUUAAAUGUAUAGAUUGAAUAGCAAAUAUAUCGGAACCGUGACUAAAUGUAAAGAAAUAACAGUAAAUUGGUAAACCGAAUGAAUCAAAUCACACAAUUUGGUUGAUUCCUUUUUUAGAGGGUUGUUAGUCCUACAACUUCAAAAUUUUAUUUCAUUUAUUACAAAAAGUACAUAUUAAAACCUUCCCUUAGCUCUUUUUCUUCCACUAGCAUAGUUGAAUAUGAAACUCUGUCCUUCAACAAAUAAAAAAAGUAUGAAAUUUUGUCUUCUAAAUUUCUUAGUAAAGUUUUCUAUAAAACUUAUCCAUUUUUUAACAGUCCCUAAGUGCCUAGCAAGAGAAUCAUUUAUAGAAGUAAGGCUAUAACUUUAUUUGUAACUGGUAACUACGAGUUACAUGCAUGUGCAUGAUUUGCAUUUUGGAUAUGUUGUUGAACUUAUUUGUCUCCCUCGCUACUAAUAAUUUGAUUGCCUGUAAAACAAUUUUAACCAACUAAAUAUAUUGGUGUUAGACAACAUAGUAAAGCCCAUCCUUAAAACUAAAGCCAUUUUCAUCUUAACCCUCUCUCUGAUUUCCAAAUUCACAUGCCAAGAAUGUGCCUAUUUAUUUGACCCCCAAAAAAAAGGAACAAAAUAACAGAAAACAGAAAAUCCUACUAGAGACAUGCUCCUGCAUCACUUAGUUGCCACAAUUUCUCAAGCCAAUUAUUCUACAUUACAUAGAAUUAGACUCUCAUAAUGGAAUGCAAGAGGGUGCAACGAUCCUCUAUGCAAAAUUAAUUAAAGAAGAUUGGGGAAAAAAAGACUAAUCUCAUUGCCUGUUUCUGAAGAUCAAUAAUCUCCUUUUGAGCCAAAUUGUUCUCCCGUUCAUGCCUCCUUACAUCCGCCUGGAGAACAAAAGAUAUGAGCCAUCAUCAACAGAAGUAGCUACACAACAAAUACUUUUUUUUUAUAUUCAAGACAUAUAUGAUAUAAACCUUCAAUUCUUGGAUUGUUUUCUCUAGAUUUGCCUGCUCAGAAAUUGAAUGCUGCAACUUUUGGUUGAUGACCGAGUAUGAUUCUGCCAUUCUAUCAUAUUCAGCUACAUAAUCAACAAAAUUAUCAGUACUCGGUGCGCAUAAAUAAGCACCAUAAAAAGCCAUCAUAUGCAGAACAUAAAAAAAAACCACAAACAUUCCAUAUGACAGUUCAUGUGAUUAUAUCAUCCAGACAUAUCAUUGCUAGUAUAAAAUAAAGAAGAAUAUAAAACAAAUGUCUUUUUAUCUUUAUAACUGUUUCACCAACUAGAGACAAACUUUUGCACAAAUUUCAAUUUUAGUGUAUGUCUUCAACCUUUCAUAUUUGCAAUAAAACCUUAGCAAUUUCAUUUCAUUCAAAUUGAUCAUAUAUACACACAAAAAUUGCCGUAAGUGAAGAAGACAAUUUUAUAACUCCCUCUCUUCUUCCCACCUCCUUCCCUUUUCCCUUAUCUCUGAUAAUGUAUCCAUGUAUUAUUUUGCCAAUUCUCAAUGACCUCAUAUCAACAAUCACAUGGAAUAAUGAAAACAACCUUAAACAAAUAUGGGAUAUGCAGAUGUGCCCUUCCUCGAAUAUCCUAGGAACCAACUUUAAUGUGAAUUUUGCAUAUUCACAAGCACCCAUGAGUUAACACUGCCCGUGGAUCUCCUUAAAAACCUUGUCAGUUUACACAGCUUAUCUUAUAUGAAUUAUGCAGAUUUGGUGAAGAUGAAGAAUGAUGGACCUGGAGUCCUGGACCUGCAAGGCUGAGGUAUACAGCAGUAAGAAAUUGAGCCGCCAAGAGAUCAAGAGGAUAGGGACCCAGCAUCAGCAGAAGAUUCUAGUAGCAAGGUGCAAGAUUCUAGUAGAAGGGAUGAGCAACCCAGUAACUGCAUACUGAAGAAGCAGCAAUUGCAGAAGAGGGAAGCUAUAAAUAAUUAGUUAACAGUAGAACAAGAGGCGUGUCUUGUACUUCGGUUUUUAGCCGAGCUAAGAGCUGCUUCUGUUUGCUCUCUGGAUUCUCUGUUUCAUUUUAUUUUUUCUGUAUGUGCAGUAGAGAGUUGUUUAGCCAAAAUUGCAUUGCAGAUUGAAUCAUCGGCUAUUUCUUAAACAUAAAUCACCCAUUUCCAUAUAAAUUUCCAUUCCUAAAGCUCCUAACUCUAUAAUUUUUUGCCAUUCCAUUAAGCUAGUAUAGUUGCAGAAAAUCCUAAAACACUUGAUAUCAAUCAGCCCCUCAUUCCAAAGGCUGCUUUUAAUUAUGGAAGGAUGAUAUGGUGGGUUUCUCAACAGCCUGUAGUGUCCCAGUAGAAUGGCCAAUGAGUUCAUGAAUAUGGGAAUAAGGGAAGUGGAUUCUUUGGGAGAGAACGGAUGGCAAUUGAAGUAACCAAUUUUUACAAGCAAAUAAGGUCGGCAAGAGAGAAAGAGGGUGGGGAAGAAAGAUGGAGGGGCAGAGAGAAAAUAAGAGUUGAAAAUGCCUUUUUUUUCUACUACAAAACGUUUUUUUUCCAAUUUAACAAUAAAAGUUUUUUCAGUGAAUUUGACAAAUUAUUUUAAAUGUGAAAUUUUGACAUACAAUUGAUAAAUUAAAGGCACCAGUUGAAGCCGAAAAUAUUCACCGAAAUUGGAAUAGUUUNNNNNNNNNNNNNNNNNNNNNNNNNNNNNNNNNNNNNNNNNNNNNNNNNNNNNNNNNNNNNNNNNNNNNNNNNNNNNNNNNNNNNNNNNNNNNNNNNNNNNNNNNNNNNNNNNNNNNNNNNNNNNNNNNNNNNNNNNNNNNNNNNNNNNNNNNNNNNNNNNNNNNNNNNNNNNNNNNNNNNNNNNNAUUUCCCUCCAAAUCAACUGAUGAACAAUUUUUUUUUCCAGAGACAAUUGGGAAAAAAAAAACACCAGUGCAAUAAUGCCCCUCUGUCAAACCAACUAUUACCCAAAAAUUGAACAAAAGGUUCUCCUCCAACUCCUACUCCAAUCACAAUGUGUCAACUGGUGGUCAACCAUUACAUAAAAAUAAACCUAUUUUCCAAGCUAAUCACUCCUAAAAUUGCAAAUAGUCCAAAACCUCUAAGUUCCCAAGAAAAGAGCAUGGUUAGAACUAAUUCCAAACACGCUUCCAAGGUAAAGUAAUAGAUAAUGCAAGUUUCUCGAAAUUAUAAUUCCAAAUUAUUGUUAUAGAUAAUGCAAGUUUAUUACUGAUGUUUUUGAAUAGUCAAUUUUGGAGAAUAAAUAUCCACUAAAUUAAUUUACGGAGGAUUAUAUUUAUUCAGGUAACAUUAAUUUAAUAUAUUAACGUUGAAUUCAAUUUUAGCAAGAAUAAUGUUAACUUAUACAAGAUUAUUAAUUAAACAAUAUAAUAUAAUAUUAUCAAAAAAGCAUUUAGGAUGAAAAAUGUGACAGUUCAAUCAGCGUACAACCCUUAUUAAACAUUAAAACUCAAGAAAAGUACAUUUCAGGCUUUGUGGUUCAAUUUGUAUCAAAAUAGUAACUUGUGGUAACACGCUGUUAGCAAAUAGUGGAUCUUACGAUUCUCGAUUUGAAUCUAUAGAAUGAAUCUUAAAUGUACUUGAAUCUUACAAUUCUUGAUUCAAACUUUACGAUUCUCAAUUCGAUUCCACAUCUUAGCAAUUCGAAUCUAUCGAGUACAUUGCAAAGGUACAGGAAUUGUGACUAAAUCUAUAGUGAAUCAGAUGAAUUAAUAUGAAUAAACCGAGUCUUCGCCCAAUAAUUAUUUAUAAAGAGUUCAUCAGACCUUACAUUUUCAAAAUUUAAGGUCCCCUUCGUUUUUGAUAUAAAAACUGUACAUAAAACUUAACUAUUCGUCUUCUGCCGCCUAUUCUUUUUCCUCUCCUUUUGCUUGAUUUUUUUAAUUAAUUUACUUAACAAAUUGUAGUCGUCAUGUUAUGACAAUUUAUAUUAAUAAUAUUCUAACUUGUUAUCUUUUUUUGUUGUUUAAUCAUUCAAUGAAAUUUAGAUGAGUGUUUCAGCAUAUAUAUAAUGAUAUUGAUAACUUUUGUCUACAACUCCAAAAUUCAUAAUUUACUAUAGAAAUAAUAAAUACAUAAUAUCCUAUUAUAAAGAAUAUUUCUAAUUAGAUAAAUGAUAAUUCUAUAUUUAUCAAAAUAUGUCAUUGUGAUGUAUUUUUUAAUUGACUUUAAAAAUUGUCAUCGAAUCUUUCGAUUCGAUUCUCGAUUCAUAAAAUGAAUAUUUUGAUUCCCGAUUCGAAUCUCAAGCUGACAAACAUGCCGGCAAUUUCCAAACGCUAUUAGAAAAUGCAAACGUGGCAAACAAAGUAUAAUUGUUAAUCAAUAUUUUCCUUAAUAUUUUCAAUAUUUUCAAAAGGGACAAUACAAUAAAGUACCAUGUGGUUUUACUCAUUUUCACUUCAAAAUAUAUGGCUCAACUUGUGUCACAACAGCACCCAAAAUUAAAUUGGAAGAGAAUCCAUAGAUAGUAAUGUUAUCAAAGCGAGAGACGACAACGGCAACAGGAUCCACUAUCGUCUUAGGCGAGAGGUGAGGGGCAAGACAAAGCCUUUUUAGAAAAGGCGACAAAGAAUUUUCAAUACACAUAUAUAGACACAUAAACACUUCAAUGAACACCCAUAUUCAAAAGGAAAAAAAUAAAUCCCACAUCAAAGAUGCAUUAGCAUUAAUGGAAAUAUAUAAUAGGUAGCAUAAAACUACUAAAUAACUUGCAUUAACCUUUUUGGGCCAAAUAGAAAAUGGUUGCAAAAGUUAUUUGAGUCAAUUUGGGUCGUGCUCAAAUGAAAUAUAUAUACUAUUUGCAGAUAGAAGAAGAGAGAAAAAUUAAAAAACAAAGGAAGGGUGAAAAAGGAUUGGUUGUUGUGCUAGGUCUUGCAAACAGAAAAAGAGAGGAUGAGAAAGAGAAAGGAAAAAAGGAGAAGAGAGAAAAAUUAAAAAAAAGAAACACACUGCUAUGCAAGUCCAGUAGGGAAAGAAGAGGGGAGGAAGAAGAAAAAAGAGAGAGAGAGAGGAGAGACAUAUCUGGCUGAUGGUAUUAGGAGCAAAAAAAGAGCAAGAAGUUUUCAUUUUGGUUGUUAUGGAAGUGUUAUCUGCUAUUUGAAAGAGACAAAAAGAGACCAGGAAUCUCUUUUGUUGUUUAGAAGCAUAUUUUAUUUUUUUAAAAAAUAAAUUGCUUAGCUUCAGUGAGGCGUCGCCUUUGUGCAGGGCACCUCGCAUCAGUUAGGCAACGUGAGGGGUGGCGCCUCGCCUCGCCUCACGCCUUUUUUUCGCCAUUAACAACACUGAUAUAAGAUAGAAACAUGGCAAAAAAAAAUAAAAGGAUUGGAGAACCAAAAUUCAAAUCUGGGAAAAUUAACCUGAAGAUUCUACCUAAAUUGACCAACUAUUCAGCAUGAAUAUUUUUUUUUUCUAAUUUUUCAUUUUUUUUAUAUCUUUCAUAAAAAAAUUAUCACUAAAAAAUAAAAAUAAAACUCUAAGAGACUACUAUCAGCACAUUAAUUUAACCGCUAAGAAGUUUUGGGCCAAUUUCCCAAAAUUAAAAUUUAGAACUUAAAAAACCUAGGAAACAAAAACCAACCAUUUUUCAGUUUUUGAAAUGCAGGCAUACCUCGUUCAUCCAAAAUGAUUCCAGCUUUCUCUUCUAGCUCACAUAAGACCUAAAAAAAGAACCACCUCUUUAAGACCUUAAAGCAAACAAGAAUUGAUAGGAAUCUAUCAUCUAAGAAAUAGUACGUCCAAAAAGAAAAAAGUAAAAGAUAGUUUUGCAAGGCAUAAAACAUUGUCAUUAAACUAGCAAGCUAGAUUGCAGAAUUUCAUAUGUUGUAAGUGUUUAAAUAAUACAAAACAUACAAAACUUUGAAUCAAGUACAAUCAUGUCAAGUUGUGCUCAACAACAAAAAUCAAUAUGGUUUUAUGAUUUUGCAUGGCAAGACCUAAAUUUUCUACAGCAUACCUCAAUUUGACAAAAUGACAAAUAUAAAUUUUAUGAUUUUACCCCUUUCUAAUGUUUGAAAUUCCUCAAUAAAUUUUUCAAGUCAAUAAGCCAUUGUUGCUUGCACAAUUUGGCAUAAAUUUUUACUUAAUUUCCUUCAAGUUGUAAAUGUCAAAAUUUUUAUUAGGUACAAUAAGAUAUCACCUUUUUAUUCUACUUUAUUUUUUGGACAAGACCUAUAACUACUAGCUACAUGCUGCAAAGACUACCACAUACUUGCAUGUAAUUGCCUGCAUCAUAUUUAUACUUGCUUGCACAGAAACCUAGGGAUUAAUUCUAUAAAAUGAAGAUAGGUAUUAUUAUCAAAAAAGGAAGUGUGCUUGGCAACUAAUGCUUUCUUUUCUAUGCAGAAUUGUAAAACUAGUUAUGAUAUCUUUUUUAUGGAGGAAUUCAAGGUCAAGUUUUUAGGACAAUGAGUAUUAGUUCUAACAAGACAAGGAAAGACCCUCUGUUCUAUCUUAUUUGCUUAUUACCAUAGACAUUCCUUUCUCAAGCACUCAUGCCUAAGGCAAGCGUGGCAGUUGACAUGCUCAGAAGCCCCUUCAGGUGCUAACACUAUCAUUUUUAGGACCCAAAUUAUAAGAUGACUAAGAGGUUAGACAUUUGAGGAAGUGCUUUCUUUUCCUAAAGGGCAUUCAAAAUUUGAAAUGUCACCGGCAAAUUUCAUGCCUAACAGAAAGACAACUGCAAGUGGACUGAAUAUGCCCAGGGUCACUUGAAUGCAUUGGAAAGAUGGAAUGUUGAAGUAGUAAGCUUAUUGUUAAAAGGUUUUCAAGGAAGGGUUAACAGUUAAACCCCUCUUGCCAGGUCAAAGGGGGGAAGAAUGCAAGGGUAGAAAAAUAUUUAAUUAAUUUUACAAGCAUUUGUAACAGCUAAACUUAAUAACAUAUAUAUAAUAAAAUAAAUAACUACAGAAUUCACUUUGAACCAAACAUAACUGUCAUUCCUUAAACUAUUUUAUUCCUUCUCUAUGCUCUCUUAAUUGCUUCACCCUAAAAUAUUACUCUUGCCAACAAUUUUUUAACAUCAAAACAAACCCAACAUUAAAUUAAGCAAGUUAAAGCAAAAACAAAUGGGAUCUUCUGGAUGACUUCUUGCAUCUUAGCAAUUCAACUGCUUGCUUUUUGAAUUUUAUUCUUAAUAAAGAGUUAAUUGAUGACUCAUGUUUUUGACUUUCAAGCUACAACUAUAUUUCAUGAAAAUUAUUUUAUAUAGUUUGUACUGAUUUCAUUAAUAAGCUUUACAAUCCAAAAUGUAUGCUCAGAGCAUGGAGCCCAAAUACAUAAUAAUAUCAACACAAUAACAGCAUGUGAUCACUGAUCAAUGAACCUGAUUAAAGCCUAAAUAUGCAAAAAUGAAGACAUUAUGCAAACAAUACCCGCUGUAGGAUUGCUUCAGAUUCCUUCCUCCCCAACUGCUCAUGACGAAGAGCAUCAACAGCUUCUUGGUAUUUCGCAUACAUCUUAGCCAGCUAGCAAACAUUUAAAAAAUAAAAUAAAAAAGAAGAGAAAAUAAAAAUCAAACUUCCACAAAUUAACAUCCAUAUUCUACUCCCAGGAGGUGAGAUCGGAUGGCACAUAUCCUUUCUCCCUUAACGAGAGGUUUUUGGUAUGGAGGGCCUUUAAAACUUGGGAGGGAGCGUUUAAUAUGGAUUAGUCGAGCCAGUGGGCUUCAAAUACUGGAUAGUAUAUGCCCGAAAAAAUAAAAUUAAAUAAUCUACAUUCUGAAACCAAUCACAUAUGCAAGAUUUUAUAACUCACACUCCAACCAUCACGAAGAAGAGAAGCUGCUAAUGCCGUUCCUGAAACACCAACCGGAAUCCUAGGCACAAGUGUGUUGUUAUCAUCAACAAUGUUACUAGAAUCAUAUGGAUCCUUCCAUCUGAAACAAAAGAAUCAACUAAAAUUACACAAAUGAAAUAGCAACACAAAAAUAUACCCAAACAUUGUAAAUGAUUAAUGGAAAGCAACUCCAUAACAAAUAAAAUACACAUCUAACAAAUCAGUUCAACCAUGAAUCAUUCAUCAAAUGUCACAAAAUGCCAUGGUUUGGGUGUGGACAAUCCUAGAGACUAAAUUAGAGUUAAAACUAAUUGCAUUCACAUGACAAAGAAAAAGAUCAAGCAAGCUUGCACAACUUGUGUUUCCGAAAUUGUAGCCACCUCCAGCAUCAAUGUAAAGUUUUUCCUCAACUCAACUUCAAAAUUCCACCAGUUUAAUUUAAUGUUUGAUUUUAUUUAGCAAAAGCCAUCAAGAAAAGAGUAAGUAAUGAUCAAUUGUCAUCAGUUAUUUUUAUGUUAAACAAAAUAGUUAACUUUGUCAACAUUUAUUAGUUUACUAUAAUAUGCAAUUUUAAUUAACAAAAUAUGUAGCAACAGUCAGUUACUGAUGUGUUAACGCGGAAUCAUGUAAAUUUCGAGUCAUCCCCAUUCCCAUUACAUGCGAACACAAGCAUCAUCGCGGCCACAACCAUGAUUGGGAAUGUUAUGGAUAAUGAAUACCCUAAAUCCAUAACAAACAGAUUUUAUUUAUCUAGUAUUUUCUUUUUAAAUUUCUCAUUAUCUUAUCAUAUUUUCUAUUAUCUUAUCAUAAAUCUAAUAGUUGCUUGUAUUAGACUUCUACUUUGAUUAGAAGUUCUUGGACCUCCACUGUAAAAGGAGUUUAUUUUAUUCAAUAAAGGAAGCAUAUUUAUUCUAAGAAUUGUGAGAUUGAGACUCUCUUUUUUUAGUCUUGAAGUGUUAAGAGCUCCCUCCAAUGAUCUCCUUUUCUAUCAAUCCUCCAAUAACGCGAUCUGUGAUCCGGAACCAUAACAACUUGAUAUCAGAGUCUGUCGUUAUGGAUAUUUCAAUAAAUCUAGAAGCGUAGCUGAACUCUUUCAUGCAACAAUUUGAUGCACAUUUUAAUGACUUAGCUCAGCAAAUUUUUGAACUAAUUCAAUCCUUCAAUGAGGCUCCAUUUUCAGGAGUAGAGUGAUGUUAUGUAUAAUGGAUAGCCUAAAUCCAUAAUAAACAGAUCUUAUUUAUUUACUAGUUACUUUUUCAGAUUUUCCAUUAUCUUAUCUUAUCAUAUUUUCUAUUAUUUUAUCCUAAAUUUAAUCAUUA
rnacentral:lncRNA from 1 species